AUGACGCCGCGGUGUUAACGCGUGUACCGUUUCGGCUCUGAAGACGGUCGCGGGAGCAGUAGUCGUCGUCGUCUCCGUCGCCGUCGUCGUCGUGCGGUCAACGCGAACGGCUCAAGACGGCACAUAGCUACGUACGGCCAUGCGAACGCAAUAACGAGAGGAUAAUCGGGCGAAAACGCGGAACAAGAGGCACAGGGUCUCGUAGAAUAACGCUGCGAAAUGUUAAUGAACACCAAAGACGGUCUGGCACAAACCUUGAGCUGGUGCCGUGGUCACGGUGAACUUUACGCGGAUUCUGUGCGGUUAACACUGCACAACUAACUGCAGCGGCCUAAGUGCGAUAACAACGCGUGCGGCCUAAUCUCAUUCUACCGGAGGACAUAUUGACAUUCUCAUUGCGGUACCGACUUACACCACGAGAGGCCGUUAAUGUCGACCACAGCCGUGGCCGCCGGUACAUUGGCUAAUAAAACAUACCCUCUAUAUAACAGCUCUCGUUAUCAACAUACACUAUCCUCACCGCGCCCUUGUACGAUGAUCGUUCGAGUGCGACGCGACGCCGUCGUGCAGUGCGCGCCGGUUUCCGUUACCCUCCGCCGUCACGUUAAUCACAUUUCCAUCGACGUCGACGACGACGACCUUUCGCCAUUCCGGGCCGCCGACCCUCUUCGCCGCGGAUAACCCUUUAAAUCGAAUACUGCUCACGCGGGGAGGACUAACCCAAGGGGCAUUACGCGUACACAAUUACCAUAGGCGUAACCGAAGUAGGCACGAGACACCCCCUCCCGUCCACCAUAUUCGAAAUUGUGCGAUAGUAUACAAACAGGCGUCAAUGAAUCAACCCCUAACUCUUAUAACAGAAACUCACCGGCGCACUUCAAUAAGACGUUUUUUAUAACAUGGAUUAUACACGAAUUCGAAAGUAUGUGGCUAUAUCAUAGGAAGGAUUAUGUUGGUCAUACUAAAACACAGGACCCCUCAAACUUCCAGCGGUUCUCGAUGUUUGGGGACGAUGACGAUGUAUGAAUGGCUGUUCGACAAAAAAAAAAA